UACAGAGGGUGCGAGCGUUAAUCGGAAUUACUGGGCGUAAAGCGCACGUAGUCGGCUUUGCAAGUCGGGUGUGAAAUCCCCAGGCUUAACCUGGGAACUGCAUUCGAGACUGCAUUGCUAGAGUAUGGGAGAGGGAAGUGGAAUUUCCGGUGUAGCGGUGAAAUGCGUAGAUAUCGGAAGGAACAUCAGUGGCGAAAGCGACUUCCUGGACCAAUACUGACGCUCAUGUGCGAAAGCUAGGGGAGCGAACGGG
rnacentral:rRNA from 1 species